GACGAACGCUGGCGGCGUGCUUAACACAUGCAAGUCGAACGGACUACCUUGCUUCGGUAAGGUGGUUAGUAGCGAACGGGUGAGUAACACGUGGGUGAUCUGCCCUGCACUUCGGGAUAAGCCUGGGAAACUGGGUCUAAUACCGGAUAGGACUCCUGGCUUCAUGGUUGGGGGUGGAAAGCUUUUGCGGUGUGGGAUGGGCCCGCGGCCUAUCAGCUUGUUGGUGGGGUAAUGGCCUACCAAGGCGACGACGGGUAGCCGGCCUGAGAGGGGGACCGGUCACACUGGGACUGAGAUACGGCCCAGACUCCUAGGGGAGGCAGCAGUGGGGAAUAUUGCACAAUGGGCGCAAGCCUGAUGCAGCGACGCCGCGUGGGGGAUGACGGCCUUCGGGUUGUAAACCUCUUUCAGCUAUGACGAAGCGCAAGUGACGGUAGUAGCAGAAGAAGGACCGGCCAACUACGUGCCAGCCGCCGCCGUAA
rnacentral:rRNA from 1 species